rnacentral:misc_RNA from 1 species
AAAAUUUUUGGAUCGUGAGACCAGUGGAUAAUGGGAUCUUUCACAAGUUUCUAGUUGAAACUUUUUAUUUGCUUUGCCCCUAGAGAUCAAAGAAUACAACAAACACAUUAGCUUUUUUUUUUCCCGCUUUACUUUGUCAUAGUUCUGUCUCUAAUAAUGAAAAAUUAGUUUUCACAAUACAAGCAAGUUGGAAAUUAUUAUACUGUGGUUAUAAAAUUUGACUUCCCUAUGAAUCUAAUUAGUGGUUGUGAAUAACCUUCCAGGCACCAUUCUUUGCCCUUGUAUUUCCUGAUCUGUUUAGCCUAAAAUUAGCAGUUACGUAUUUUUUUAUUUUUGUGUUGCAU